rnacentral:rRNA from 1 species
AGCUCCAGUAGCGUAUAUUAAACUUGUUGCGGUUAGAACGCUCGUAGUCCGAUGUAUGUUCAGAUUUAGCGAUCCUCCCUAGCGGUGCGUACUCGAAUUGAUUUGACCAUAAUUUCUGAGUUUCGCAUCUGUAGUUUAUUCUAUGAUGCGAUAUCAGAACUUUUACUUCGAGAAAAUGAGAGUGCUUCGAGCAAAUGGUCGUCCUGAAUACACUAGCAUGGAAUAAUCUUAAGAGACAUCGUUCUAAAUUGGUUGGAAUUUGGAUAAUUGUAAUGACGGUGAGGAUAGUUGGGGGCAUUCAUAUUUAAUUGCUAGAGGUGAAAUUCUUGGAUUUUUUAAAGUACGGACUUCUGCGAAUGCAUCUGCCAGAGAUGUUUUUC